rnacentral:rRNA from 1 species
AAGUGGGGGAUAACAUUUGGAAACAGAUGCUAAUACCGCAUAGAUCCAAGAACCGCAUGGUUCUUGGCUGAAAGAUGGCGUAAGCUAUCGCUUUUGGAUGGACCCGCGGCGUAUUAGCUAGUUGGUGAGGUAAUGGCUCACCAAGGCGAUGAUACGUAGCCGAACUGAGAGGUUGAUCGGCCACAUUGGGACUGAGACACGGCCCAAACUCCUACGGGAGGCAGCAGUAGGGAAUCUUCCACAAUGGACGCAAGUCUGAUGGAGCAACGCCGCGUGAGUGAAGAAGGCUUUCGGGUCGUAAAACUCUGUUGUUGGAGAAGAAUGGUCGGCAGAGUAACUGUUGUCGGCGUGACGGUAUCCAACCAGAAAGCCACGGCUAACUACGUGCCAGCAGCCGCGGUAAUACGUAGGUGGCAAGCGUUAUCCGGAUUUAUUGGGCGUAAAGCGAGCGCAGGCGGUUUUUUAAGUCUGAUGUGAAAGCCCUCGGCUUAACCGAGGAAGCGCAUCGGAAACUGGGAAACUUGAGUGCAGAAGAGGACAGUGGAACUCCAUGUGUAGCGGUGAAAUGCGUAGAUAUAUGGAAGAACACCAGUGGCGAAGGCGGCUGUCUGGUCUGUAACUGACGCUGAGGCUCGAAAGCAUGGGUAGCGAACAGGAUUAGAUACCCUGGUAGUCCAUGCCGUAAACGAUGAAUGCUAGGUGUUGGAGGGUUUCCGCCCUUCAGUGCCGCAGCUAACGCAUUAAGCAUUCCGCCUGGGGAGUACGACCGCAAGGUUGAAACUCAAAGGAAUUGACGGGGGCCCGCACAAGCGGUGGAGCAUGUGGUUUAAUUCGAAGCAACGCGAAGAACCUUACCAGGUCUUGACAUCUUUUGAUCACCUGAGAGAUCAGGUUUCCCCUUCGGGGGCAAAAUGACAGGUGGUGCAUGGUUGUCGUCAGCUCGUGUCGUGAGAUGUUGGGUUAAGUCCCGCAACGAGCGCAACCCUUAUGACUAGUUGCCAGCAUUUAGUUGGGCACUCUAGUAAGACUGCCGGUGACAAACCGGAGGAAGGUGGGGAUGACGUCAAAUCAUCAUGCCCCUUAUGACCUGGGCUACACACGUGCUACAAUGGAUGGUACAACGAGUUGCGAGACCGCGAGGUCAAGCUAAUCUCUUAAAGCCAUUCUCAGUUCGGACUGUAGGCUGCAACUCGCCUACACGAAGUCGGAAUCGCUAGUAAUCGCGGAUCAGCACGCCGCGGUGAAUACGUUCCCGGGCCUUGUACACACCGCCCGUCAC